GAUGAGGGAACUGAGAAGUGAAGUGACUUGCCCAAGGCGACCCAGCGGACAAGUGGCGGAGCAGGAUUGGAACCCGUGACCCGCUGACUCCAUCUACUAGGCCAUGCUGCUUCAUGAUGAUGCCAAGAGAGGAGCGGACCGAGAUGCAAGACUUUGGCGAUGACAGAUCUUCAAGGGGCAUUUCCUAUGGAACUCUUCAGACCAAGGACUUUACACGUAUAAUUUACACGUAGGAAACUUCGAACUGAAAACUAUUUUCCGCACCGUUGGAGGUCACAGUAUUUUCAGGGAAUUGCGAUUCUCCCCUGUUCUUUUAAACCACAUUGUCUCUGCGGAGAAUGAUUUACCGAAACGUGACUGAACGAAAGCUGUCCAGUUUCAGUUUUCCCUUCAGUGCAGUAGGUGUCUUGACAGAAUAUACAAUAUAGCAGAAUUUUAGGAGACUCCUUAAGUGCUAAGGCCUCUAGCAUUUGACCCUGCCUCCCCACCCCCCAAAUUAACAUCCUGAGAAGGUACAAUUCCAGUAGAUAUCACAUUUCAGAUGGAAUGCGGUCAGCUUUCAACCGAACCAUUCCUCAGUGUAACGCCCGAGAGUGGUAACACUCGUAUCCAGUUGUUCGGAUGCCGCAUUCCUACUUAAUACUUUUGAUGGCCCUGAACGCGGGAAUACUGGCACCCGAACGGUUCGAGAGAGUAGCUAUCGUGAAUAAAAGGCACUGGGCUUCUUCCUAGACA